rnacentral:rRNA from 1 species
AACGAACGCUGGCGGCAUGCCUAACACAUGCAAGUCGAACGAGACCUUCGGGUCUAGUGGCGCACGGGUGCGUAACGCGUGGGAAUCUGCCCUUAGGUUCGGGAUAACUCAGGGCAACUUGAGCUAAUACCGGAUGAUGUCUUCGGACCAAAGAUUUAUCGCCUAAGGAUGAGCCCGCGUAGGAUUAGCUUGUUGGUGAGGUAAAGGCUCACCAAGACGACGAUCCUUAGCUGGUCUGAGAGGAUGAUCAGCCACACUGGGACUGAGACACGGCCCAGACUCCUACGGGAGGCAGCAGUGGGGAAUAUUGGACAAUGGGCGAAAGCCUGAUCCAGCAAUGCCGCGUGAGUGAUGAAGGCCCUAGGGUUGUAAAGCUCUUUUACCCGGGAUGAUAAUGACAGUACCGGGAGAAUAAGCCCCGGCUAACUCCGUGCCAGCCGCCGCCGUAA